rnacentral:rRNA from 1 species
UACGUAGGUGACAAGCGUUGUCCGGAUUUACUGGGCGUAAAGAGCGCGCAGGCGGUCGUUCAAGUCGAGUGUGAAAGCCCCCGGCUCAACUGGGGAGGGUCAUUCGAUACUGAUCGACUCGAAGGCAGGAGAGGGUAGUGGAAUUCCCGGUGUAGUGGUGAAAUGCGUAGAGAUGCGGAGGAACACCGAUGGCGAAGGCAGCCCCCUGGGUCGACACUGACGCUCAGGCACGAAAGCGUGGGGAGCAAACAGG